AUUGAACGCUGGCGGCAUGCUUUACACAUGCAAGUCGAACGGUAACAGGCCGCAAGGUGCUGACGAGUGGCGAACGGGUGAGUAAUGCAUCGGAACGUGCCCAGUCGUGGGGGAUAACGCAGCGAAAGCUGCGCUAAUACCGCAUACGAUCUAUGGAUGAAAGCGGGGGACCGUAAGGCCUCGCGCGAUUGGAGCGGCCGAUGUCAGAUUAGGUAGUUGGGGGGGUAAAGGCUCACCAAGCCGACGAUCUGUAGCUGGUCUGAGAGGACGACCAGCCACACUGGGACUGGGACACGGCCCAGACUCCUACGGGAGGCAGCAGUGGGGAAUUUUGGACAAUGGGCGCAAGCCUGAUUCAGCAAUGCCGCGUGCAGGAAGAAGGCCUUCGGGUUGUAAACUGCUUUUGUACGGAACGAAACGGUCCUGGUUAAUACCUGGGGCUAAUGACGGUACCGUAAGAAUAAGCACCGGCUAACUACGUGCCAGCCGCCGCCGUAAUAC
rnacentral:rRNA from 1 species